CUCAGUUCCUGUCAACGGUUUACAGGCUGGUUUGGCAGUUCCAGACAAAAAACUUGAAUUUUCUGAGAGUCUACAUGAAAUUCUACUGUCCUUGAAACCAGGUUGAAUUCCAUCUUUGAGCUGCCAGAGAACAUUCCACGCUUUCACCUUCGGGAGAUUUCAGAGCUAAGAUUCUUUGAGAUUUCUGCAUUUGAAAGAGGCCAUAAAAGAAAAAAAGAUACAGAUGCUUUUCAAGUAUAUGGACGUCAAAUGGAUCUGAAGACACUAAAGAUGGCAUAUCAUUGGAUGGAUACCACUGGCUUUCAACAUAGAAAUCUAAAUAUAGAAAGGAUUAAACAAUCACUUAUAAUUUCACUAAAAUAAGUGCCAAGAUUCCUAUAGUUUCUAAUGGGGGCAGGAGCUGACCUCCUCCUUAGCUGUCCUCAGUUAAACAAUACAGAAACAUAAUGACUUCAGUGAGAGACCUGGGUAAUGAGCAUAUAUCCCCAUCAUCAGCUCUGUGUUGCCCCAUUCUUCUCCCCUGCCUUUCCCUGGCCUUCAUUACUUGCUGAAGUAUAGGAAAACAAGUAGAGGAGACAGGAAACUGGAAGGCUGAGCAAGGAUUUGCUGGUCAAACUGAGGGAAAAGAGGACACGUGCAAGCAGUGGGAAUGCAGGAUUGCUGUCUGGACAUGCAGAGAUGGGAUCAGGAGAGCCAAGGUGUGAAUGAAACUGAACUUGAUGAAGGUUGUGGAAAAUAAUAAGGAGGGGUUCUACAGGUAAAUAGGUCAGAAGAGACAGACCAAGGAGAGUGUAUCCCCUCUUGUGGGAGAUGGAUAAGUCACCUCAGCCUUGUCGAAUGUCAACUGGGUGAUAAUGAGGCUCUGGAAAGGAGAAUAUAAAAGGCUUGCUUGGAAAAGUAGAGAGAGACACACACACAUCACAAUCAUGAUCAUCACAGCAAUGAAGAAAUCUUCCUGGCACAAGAACCCUAUGUCAUGUGGCUAACUCGUGACACCAUCUGAUAAAUGAGAAGGGAGAAGUGUCUGCAUUAGGCAUGGAGAAGGCUGAGGUACUCAAUGAAUUCUUCGCCUCAGCCUUCACUAUCAGUCAUGUUU
ensembl:lncRNA